AAUUUUUAUGGAGAGUUUGAUCCUGGCUCAGGAUAAACGCUGGCGGCGUGCCUAAUACAUGCAAGUCG
rnacentral:rRNA from 1 species